CUUCAAAAUCCCUCCCCUCACGAACGACGAACAACCCACGACAAAAACCCCAACCUUAACCCCAUUCUUCUCAUCUCCACGUCCUUUCUUCUCGACGACAGAGACCCACGGCAAGGAGACCCAUAGCAAUAGAGACUCAUAUCGUUGCUGAAUCAGGAAAUCAAGGCCAAGGGAGAUUUCAUGGCUAUGGGAGGAUGCGAGAAUGAAAAGUUAACGCCAAGAUUCUCAAGCAGUAACAAAAUUGUGCAGUGACAUUAAUGGCGAACAAAGAAACAGACAAAGAAACAUGAUGAGAAGCUUCUUAGGCUUUUCUCUUUUCCAAUCAGUAAGAGAGUUGAUGGAAUUGGGGACAAUCAAGAAGAGGAGUUUGUAGUUCCAGGAGUUGAUGAGGUUGUUGUAGAUAUCCUAAAAUCAGAUUAUGAGGAUGCCUACUUUGUUACUGGUGUGCUGUCUGGAAAGGCAACAAACUUGUAACGCCCCAACAGAUUGGAGUUUUAUUUGUUCAUCUCAAGAGUAAUCUUGUAAAUUCAAAAUUGUUAUGGAAUGGG